AUUGAACGCUGGCGGCAGGCCUAACACAUGCAAGUCGAACGAGUGGCGGACGGGUGAGUAAUGUCUGGGAAAGUGCCUGAUGGAGGGGUAUAACUAGUGGAAACGGUAGCUAAUACCGCAUACCAUGGGAUGUGCCCAGAUGGGAUUAGCUAGUAGGUGGGGUAAAGGCACACCUAGGCGACGAUCCCUAGCUGGUCUGAGAGGAUGACCAGCCACACUGGGACUGAGACACGGCCCAGACUCCUACGGGAGGCAGCAGUGGGGAAUAUUGCACAAUGGGCGCAAGCCUGAUGCAGCCAUGCCGCGUGUAUGAAGAAGGCCUUCGGGUUGUAAAGUACUUUCAGUGGGGAGGCGUUACCCGCAGAAGAAGCACCGGCUAACUCCGUGCCAGCAGCCGCGGUAAUUC
rnacentral:rRNA from 1 species